UUUCAACAACGGAUCUCUUGGUUCCGGCAUCGAUGAAGAACGCAGCGAAAUGCGAUAACUAAUGUGAAUUGCAGAAUUCAGUGAAUCAUCGAGUCUUUGAACGCACAUUGCGCCCC
rnacentral:rRNA from 1 species